CCUACGGGUGGCAGCAGUGAGGAAUAUUGGUCAAUGGCCGAAAGCCUGAACCAGCCAAGUCGCGUGCGGGAUGAAUGUCCUACGGGUUGUAAACUUCUUUUGUACGGGAGUAACGCGCCUUACGUGUGGGUCUUUGCGUGUACCUUAUGAAUAAGCACCGGCUAACUCCGUGCCAGCAGCCGCGGUAAUCCGGAGGAUCCGGGCGUUAUCCGGAUUUAUUGGGUUUAAAGGGGGCGUAGGCGGAGUGUCAAGCGUGCGGUAAAAUGUUGGGGCUCAACCCGGUCCUGCCGUUGGAACUGGGGUGCUUGAGUGCGCGGAAAGUAGGCGGAAUGCGUGGUGUAGCGGUGAAAUGCAUAGAUAUGACGAAGAACUCCGAUUGCGAAGGCAGCAUGCCGGAGCGCGACUGACGCUGAAGCACGAAAGCGUGGGUAUCGAACAGGAUUAGAUACCCGAGUAGUC
rnacentral:rRNA from 1 species